rnacentral:misc_RNA from 1 species
GGAAUAUUGCACAAUGGGCGCAAGCCUGAUGCAGCCAUGCCGCGUGUAUGAAGAAGGCCUUAGGGUUGUAAAGUACUUUCAGCGGGGAGGAAGGCGAUAAGGUUAAUAACCUUGUCGAUUGACGUUACCCGCAGAAGAAGCACCGGCUAACUCCGUGCCAGCAGCCGCGGUAAUACGGAGGGUGCAAGCGUUAAUCGGAAUUACUGGGCGUAAAGCGCACGCAGGCGGUUUGUUAAGUCAGAUGUGAAAUCCCCGGGCUCAACCUGGGAACUGCAUCUGAUACUGGCGAGCUUGAGUCUCGUAGAGGGGGGUAGAAUUCCAGGUGUAGCGGUGAAAUGCGUAGAGAUCUGGAGGAAUACCGGUGGCGAAGGCGGCCCCCUGGACGAAGACUGACGCUCAGGUGCGAAAGCGUGGGGAGCAAACAGGA